rnacentral:lncRNA from 1 species
CCAAAGCUUCAAAUCAAAAACCUUUGUUUUUCUCUUUCAGCCAAAGAUUCGGGUUUGAAAAUUUCAGCUUCUCCCCGUCAUAAAGAAGGAAACUGAAGGAUUUAUAAGGGAGAAAAAGGAAAGAAUAGAAAGUGUCAACCAGAAAAGCGGAGCCUUCAAUACCCUAGAGAACUACAAAAACUGCUAAAAUCCACACUCUUUCUAUAUUUACCUUUCUCCAUGUACUUCCUUUCUUUAUCUAUUUGAUUCUGCUAUAACGUAAAGGAGCCAACAAACGGACAAAAAAAAAAGCAUCUAUAUUAAUUUUUUAUUAUAAUUACUUCAACAAAACAACAUCGGAAGAAAGAAAAUAACAAAAUCUCAGAUUUUUUUACUUUUGGUUUCUUCUCUUUAUAAUGCAGAGAAAGAUUAUUUUAUGCGCAGACGAUAAAAAAAAAAUGGCGACUUGCAGAGAAAGAGCUGACUUACUGCAACUCCAAUGACGCACGCUGGUCAAUGAAUUCCGAUUAUUUUUCUUCUUUGGUUACACUUUCAAAGACCCUUCUUCGUUCUGAAUUUAUUGGAAAAAUCGAAAUCCUCAUUUGGAAAAAUAAUUUUAGAGAAUCCGGAGAAAUUCUAUGACGGAGACGCAAUUUGCUUUGGCACGUGGCCCGCAGUGUUCCUUCUUUGUUGUUUUUUAAUUUCUAAACGGCUACUUUCAAUUUUGC